CACAAGCGGAGGAACAUGUGGUUUAAUCGAUGAUACGCGAGGAACCUUACCUGGGCUUAAAUGUAGAGUGCAUUUUUAGAGAUAGAAAUUCCCUUCGGGGCUUUCUGCAAGGUGCUGCAUGGUUGUCGUCAGCUCGUGCCGUGAGGUGUCGGGUUAAGUCCCAUAACGAGCGCAACCCUUAUCGUUAGUUGCCAGCUGGUAAAGCAGGGGACUCUAGCGAAACUGCCACCGUAAGGUGAGAGGAAGGUGGGAUGACGUCAAAUCAGCACGGCCCUUAUGUCCAGGGCUACACACGUGUUACAAUGGCCGGCACAGAGGGCAGCUACCUGGUGACAGGAUGCUAAUCUCGAAAACCGGUCUCAGUUCGGAUCGAAGUCUGCAACUCGACUUCGUGAAGCUGGAUUCGCUAGUAAUCGCGCAUCAGCCAUGGCGCGGUGAAUACGUUCCCGGGCCUU
rnacentral:rRNA from 1 species